GGGCUUAACCUGGGGGCUGCAUUCCAAACUGGAUAUCUAGAGUGCAGAGAGGAAAGCGGAAUUCCUAGUGUAGCGGUGAAAUGCGUAGAGAUUAGGAAGAACACCAGUGGCGAAGGCGGCUUUCUGGACUGUAACUGACGCUGAGGCACGAAAGCGUGGGUAGCAAACAGGAUUAGAUACCCUGGUAGUCCACGCCGUAAACGAUGGAUACUAGGUGUAGGGGGUAUCAACUCCCCCUGUGCCGCAGUUAACACAAUAAGUAUCCCGCCUGGGGAGUACGGUCGCAAGAUUAAAACUCAAAGGAAUUGACGGGGGCCCGCACAAGCAGCGGAGCAUGUGGUUUAAUUCGAAGCAACGCGAAGAACCUUACCUGGACUUGACAUCCCUUGCAUAGCCUAGAGAUAGGUGAAGCCCUUCGGGGCAAGGAGACAGGUGGUGCAUGGUUGUCGUCAGCUCGUGUCGUGAGAUGUUAGGUUAAGUCCUGCAACGAGCGCAACCCUUGUUAUUAGUUGCUACCAUUAAGUUGAGCACUCUAAUGAGACUGCCUGGGUAACCAGGAGGAAGGUGGGGAUGACGUCAAAUCAUCAUGCCCCUUAUGUCCAGGGCUACACACGUGCUACAAUGGUAGGUACAAUAAGACGCAAGACCGUGAGGUGGAGCAAAACUUAUAAAACCUAUCUCAGUUCGGAUUGUAGGCUGCAACUCGCCUACAUGAAGCUGGAGUUGCUAGUAAUCGCGAAUCAGAAUGUCGCGGUGAAUACGUUCCCGGGCCUUGUACACACCGCCCGUCACACCAUGAGAGCUGGUAACACCCGAAGUCCGUGAGGUAACCGUAAGGAGCCAGCGGCCGAAGGUGGGAUUAGUGAUUGGGGUGAAGUCGUAACAAGGUAGCCGUAGGAGAACCUGCGGCUG
rnacentral:rRNA from 1 species